UCGCAAUUGGAUUUUGUGAGUUUUUUGCAUUUUAUUGUCUUGCAUUUAUAUUGGUAGUUUUUGUUUUUCUGGUGUGUUCCCGUCCAGGGGCCCUGUAGGGGAUAACUGAAGGGGAGGGGGUCUUUUUCUUUUCUUGGUGUAUUUUUUGUUCAGGGGGAGGUGCUUUGGCUGAACCCUGAUAGCCUGGUCCGUGUUCUUUUGGGGGGGGGGGGUUAUCCUUUUGGCAGUUGGUAGGGGGGUGGAAUCCCUUCUUUACUGCAACGUUAUUG
rnacentral:lncRNA from 1 species